rnacentral:lncRNA from 1 species
AAAGGCUUCCGUUCUCUACAUAUCUUUUGGCAGCAUCGCGGUCGUGACUGUCGAACAGUUUGAGGAGCUUGCGGUGGGACUGGAAGCAAUCGGAAAGCCUUUCUUGUGGGUGUUACGGCCAGAACUUCUCAUUGGAAAUCCGGUAGAGAAGUAUAAGGAAUUCUGCGAACGUACCUCCAAGCAGGGAUUUACUGUGUCCUGGGCACCGCAGCUACGAGUUCUGAAACACCCCUCCAUCGCUGCGCACCUCAGUCACUGCGGCUGGAACUCGGUGCUGGAAAGUAUCAGCAAUGGAGUGCCUCUCAUGUGUUGGCCUUGGGGAGCUGAGCAAAACACCAACGCAAAGCUGGUUAUACACGACUGGAAGAUUGGAGCUGGAUUUGCAAGUGGGGCGAAUGGACUGAUCGGCAGAGGCGACAUCGAAAAGACGCUGCGGGAGGUGAUGGAUGGGGAAAGAGGGAAGCAGAUGAAAGACACUGUUGAGGUGCUGAAGUGCAAGGCAAGGAAAGCUGUGGAGAGUGGUGGUCGAUCCGCUGCGAGCUUGGAUGAUUUUCUUAAAGGCCUCAGCAGCCAGUGAUGCAAUGAUAAGUUAUCACUGCAAGUGCUAGCGUGAGAUGGCAAACAUGUGAAAAACUUACAUGCCGCGAAUUUGUCAAGCUUGACAAACCAUGAAGCGAAUAAAAUAUUCGUCUACCUUGCAACCCCUUUGUUGACUGGAAAAAACAGGACCGAAAUCCACCGUUGAAUAGCACUGAUCUCUUUCUCAUCACAUGUAAAUGCCAUGAUCGAUCGCGCCGUGUUUGAUCAGCCACGACAGAGCAGGAUUCUUAGUGAAGGCUGAAAAGGAGCAGCAGGAAUAGUGCCACAGCAUUAAGGAUAGGCUCCCAGCGUAGCAGGCUUCUCAUUGCUUCUCAUUACACUGCCUCUUCCUUGUUCUCUAUAGAAAACUUCCUCAUCAAGCACGUCGCCCUAUGGUGAGUAAUCUCUUCUGCAUAUCCUGGAAUUCUGUUUCAGGGAACACGCAUGCCGAGGACAGCUACGUCGGAGAGAAGACCACCCGGAUGGUGAAACUGGCCACGAGUUAUGUCAAGGAGUCCCUUGGAGGAACCAAGGACGAUGCUCUCUUCUUCUGCGACUCUGGAACCACUGCAGCUGUGAAAAAGCUCCACGAACUUUUGGGCUUGUCGGUGCCACCCCAAAUGAGAGACUCAUCCGUGGCAUCGAUGACAGGUGUUCAUAACCACCCGUGUCCCCCGUGUCGAGCAGACCUCCGCCGAGCUGUGUGUCUGCUCGUGAGGGGUUUCGGCGGUGUGUGCCGUUUGUAACGAACAUCAUCUUCCCCGAGGCAAAGUCUUGCUGACAAUCUGUCAACUGUUUAAACUACAGGUUAUUCUGACCGAUGAUGGAUUGAUCGACAUGAAGCACCUCGCUGCAUGCACGCCGUCCAAAGCUAACGGGGGAUACCAGCCAUCGCUCGCCUUCUACACAAACAUGGAGCAGUAUAGCAUGCUUUGAUUUGGCAAGCUGGUAAGACGAGAUCAGAACGAAAAGUGAUUGUUUAGAAUUUUUGGGUAGCUGUUACAAUGACCAUCAUAGAAUAUCUUUUGUCUUUAAUAUUUGAUACAUGCUCAGGAAAAAAAUGAAUAUCCCUAGGUAUCUUGCCUUUUAGUCCGUUUUAUACAUUAGUAAACAUGUGUAUACACAAAUUUAGUUUUUUUAUAAGAUCGAUUUUAUAUAUGUACACAAAUUUAGUUUUUUUAUAAGAUUGAUUUUUGAUACACCAAAUCCCUUAUUUGAGAUUGAUUUGCAAUUUCAUACUUCUUAAACAACUAGUUUCCUUGUCUAUAAAGAUUGUAUUUUUGUCUGACUUCACCAUAUUUGCUAUUUCAUAUUGUUUUAUGAGAUUUUGGUAGGCAAUAAUAGUUUUUUUAAGUCAUCAAAAUUUAUAUGAGCUCUCUUUAUCACAUAUUCACGAUAAAUUUUCAUAUAUAGAUGUAGGUGCAUUUUGUCUGAUACUAAGUCUUUACAUUGUUUAUAACAUUUAAUUGAGUUGUAUAUUCCUUGAUUGUUUCAGAUUUUGCUUGAUAAAGUUUUUGUAGUUCAUUAUAAUUUUCUCCUGGGUUUGUUUCCAUGAAAAAAUCUUUAAAGAAAUUUUUUGUCUAUUUAUCAAAUGUGCCAAGCUUUUUGACAUCAUUAUUAUAAUACUAAUCUUUGGCUUUGCUUUUUAGUGUAUAGCGGAAAAGAUUUUUUCCUGUCUAUCUACUUGAUUAAGCUUAAUUGCUUCUAUGUAUUUCUCAAUAUACAGUUGUGGGUCUUUUCCUUUAAUCCUAGAAAAAGAUGGAUAUGUGAUGAUGGUAUUUAUUGCUAUUCCUGCAAUUGCCAUCAUGUUCAUUGCAAUUUGAUAGAAAAUGCUCUAUUUUGCAACUAAUAUAGACAAAAUAGGUAUUUGGUUCAUAAAGAACCUAAAUCAUCGUUAGAGGGUUUAUAAAUUUAACUAAUCUGCCUUUUAUAGAGUAUCACUUUAAUUGUUUUGUGUUCCACUACUCUCAGUUGAAGUAGAGGCAUUUUCUAUGUGCCAAUGCUGCCAAAGAGAAUAGCAUAUGGAUUUACGUAUUUUGGAUGACCAUCAAAGUCGUAUUGGGAUUUUUAAUUUCCUUUUCAUUGAGGUGUACUUAAUAUGCUUUCAGCUCACUCUCUUUCAAAUUUUUCUUUAAUUUGGUUAAGUAAUGAUUUAGUUUGUUAUGAAGGGAGGUCAAGAUUGCAAAUAUCAUGAGCAAGUACUCUAUAAUCUCGUUUUAGAUCUUGUGAAUACUUCUUUUCAGACUACCUUCUACUAUUCAAAUUGUAAGGGAAAUAUUGUAUAUCUAUUACCUUAUACAGUGAUAAUUUUAUAUAUAGGGACUAUUCCUUUUAAAGCUUUAUAGGUAAGAUCAAUUGUUAGUCUAUGCCUAUAUAUUUCCAGGUUUGUUGGCAUUGUUAUUAUGGCAAGCCUAGUUAUUAUGCCUCGUUCGUGGAGUGAGUGGUACAAAGUUUUGGUAUGAAUUAAUUCCCUUUGUAAAUUGGCUUAUCAAUCAUUCUUAUGAGCAAACAUUUAACUUCUCAAUCAAUUUUGAAAUAGGGAUGGCUUUCCUUUAGAGGCCAAAUGUCUAGAACAUUGCUUAUACAAGAGUUCUAGGAAUUUCUCGAGCAACAAAUAUUAUUUUUCAUAGCAUAUCUGUCUUACUUAAGUGUGGUCCACUUUAAAAGAUUUUAACUCCACAAAAUUUUGUUGCCUAUCAAUCUAAAUUUAGAAUUGAUCUAACAUCUAUUAGCCCAAUUAUCAAUAAGUGUAUUUCUACCUAUGGGUAUCUAAGCUUUAUUGUGGACCAUUAAAGUUCCUAUAAUAAUGUCUUUGCCUAAGAUUGCAUAGAAUUAUAGCAAUUGUCUAGUAGGUAAAAUUUUUUAAAUCAUUUGCAAGUUAUAAUACUCAAAAUUUGCAUCUAACUCGGAUAGACAAACUAUCUCUCUAUCUAGGAAGAAUCCUAGUGCUAUUUUAUUUUUGUAUAGGUAACUCCUAGAUAUAAGUCUUGAUUACACUAUGUACCUACAAAGUAAUCUAAGUGUAUUAUCACACCUUUUUUGACAAUAAUAAAGGUACCAAGAGUCAGACUUCUAUAUGCCUUGAGCAGAAUACUGUCAAGUAUUUCACUCGGUAAUUCAUUGAGCUAUUUAAGUAAUUUUGUUAAAUCUAUCAUUUGUUGGCAUAAUUAAGUAUACAAAAUAGUUUAGUUUUUGCUUUUUUAUACUUUUGCCUAGUCACACAGAGUGGAGAUCAGACAACUUCCAUCUAAUUCUAUAAGAAAAAUGUAUCUUAUGAUAGGUGUGGUGAAUUGCUAGUAAACAUUCUUAUUUUGUCUACCCUAAUUCCCCCAUUCAACUUUUAUCAGGAUAGUAGAGGGUCAUCAAUCCUUAAUCUCUCCACCUAUGUGUGCAGGAAGUCUUCGCCUUUUUGCUUAUGUUUAGUGUAGUUAAGAUUAAUUUAGUGCAAAGUCUCUGGCACAUAAUACCCAAUUCUAGAGUAGUUUGCCUACUUUGGCUUAUAACCAACCUUGCCCUUAUAACUAUAGAAUUAAAAAGAGUAUUCAAUUGUUCUUGGCAAAUCUUGAGCAAACCUCUUUUAAAUGGUUCAACACUAGGGACUAAUUUGAAUGGGGCAUGGAGAUCAAUCCGUGAAAUUUCAUUAUAUAAUCAAUACAAGAGUUAAAUUAUUUAGCACAUGAUAGUUGUUCUAGAUCAAUUUGCUUGUGGAAUGACUUUAGAUAGCUUUUCAAACAUAUGAUAACUAAUUCGUGGAAGAUUUUGCUUUAGAUAUAGACAAAAAUUGUUUUUUAAGGUAAAGUUUUCUCUAGCAUAUUCGCCAACAGGCAAUUAUGGUCAAUACAAAUCUUUGUUCAAGCUUGUAUGAUAAAUUUUUAGCUUUGCAAUGUAUUUCAAAAUUUUUGGAAGUGUUUAAGGUUAUUUCACCUUUUUAAACAAAACCCUUAUCUAAUAUCUUUAAGUUUAUUCUAGCUCUUUAAAGAUCAAAGUGUGUCUCCAAGAUUGAUGCAUUUGCCUAACAACAAGUUCUAUAACUCUCUAUUCCAUGUUUAUAGCAUGAAGCCUCUCAACUGCUUUGUCUGGCAAAAACUCAAUUAACACAUAAGGUGAUUUAUAUAUUCCAAACAUAGGCAAAAAUUGAGUUACAACUCUUAUUCUAAUAAUUGUAUAAUUUUGCCUAUAUGCAAAAUAUUGACUAUCUAGGAAUUAUCUUUUGUAAGGAUGUUUACGUCUCACAAAGGGUGGUUCACACCUUGCAAAAGGUGUUUCAUGCCUAAAGUGAUGAGUAUUUCCUUUAACAAUUUAGUUUGCUUAACUAGUUUGAAAAAUGAAUUUUCAUGUCUAUUCACUUGUAUAUUUGUUCUUUGUCUAUACCUCAUUUUAGAGGAUAUAGGGCAUAUUUCAUGUGAUUGCCCUUGAUUUCUCCUUAUGGGGCUAGAUGUUAUGUGAAUGCUCUCAGAAUCUAUAGGAGAGUGAUAACUUUCACACUAAACAGUGUUUGCAAGCUCUCUUUAUAUAAUAGAUAAGCUUUGAUUAAUUCAUUUAAGUGUACUAAACAUAAAGUGGUUUGAACGGUUAUAGUGGUUCAUGAUAACUAUUUCCAAAUUUUCAAUUUUAUGAGUCUUGUUUGAGUCUUAUAAGCUCUUGUAAUAUGCAUAGAAGAAAACUGUAUAUGAGUAGUAGUUAAUGCUAAAGGACUUUGGAUCAAAGUCUUGAGACAACACAAUGUUUUAAUUAUAAUUUUGCUUCUAUUAAAGCCUCAUAAGAUUUGGGUGAAUAGUUCCUCAAUUUAUUCUUCACUAAGACUGACUUUAACUUUCUUUAAACUAGAGUCAAAAACAAAAGUUAUAAGUGCCUAAUUUUCCUAUUUAUGUAUGCCUAGAAAAAUUGUGACACGCUACUAAAAAAAGUGUCUUUUAAAAACCCAAGUGAGAAUUUGCUUAGAAGGAAAGAAUUCUAGAGUAGUUGAUUGUGUCUUCCAUAUCAAACAAACUCCAUUCCUUUUUUUUUUUGGAUUUUUCUCAAGAAAUUGUCGGUAAAACAAUUUAAACUUGAGUUUUUUAGUAAUGUAUGUUGUACUUCAAUUUUAAACUCGUCCUAUGCUCUAUAACUUUAGUGAUAGUUGAAAAACUAUAUUUCUUAUGUUGUUUAGGCACUAAGCCACUACAAUUACUAGAAGACAUUUUUCGUUCAUUGUUGUUUAGGCUUAAGGCCUUUAGAAUCAUUGAAGUGAUCUACUUGUGAAUCCUAAUGCUUGACAUGUUUGGAAUUCACAAGGAAUUUUCUCUCAGUUGUUUUUCAAGCUAAAGAGUGAUGGCUUAUCCUACCAUAGUUGUUAAAAGUGAGUAAGGCUUUUUCUACUUGUACUCAUGUUCUUGCCCAUGCCUGCAAAAUAGUGACAAAAAACAUAGAUAAGAAUGUAAAAGAAAAAGAGAGAAGAAAAUAGAAAAUAAUAGAACUCAGCCUCAAACCCCAAAGGCGUGAGUAAUAAUAAGUAUAUGUUAUUUUUUAACUUUACUUUGUACAAACAAUCAUAAGUGGGAGAAAAAAUGGUUAAUUCAAUGCAAAUGCAUACAAUAGUGAGCGAGGGUUAUUUUUUAGCACGUCUAAGUGUUAUUUAUAUACUACAUGAUUUUAUAACUGUUUUUAACUAUUUCAUGUUUGUCUAUGACAAGCAUUGCUUAAGUCAAGUUUUCUUUUUUGGAUACUUAAGCUUAGGCAUAAUUUCAUUUCAUCUAAGCUUCUUUCUUCUGCUCUAUUUGGGAAGAUAUACAAAAUAAAACAUUUACCUCUUCAUCAAACAUUGCCAAAGUCUGAAUUAAUAAUUCUAAGAAGAAUACCAUGCUAUCUUCCAUGGUAUUUCCAAAAUAUACAAGUCACUUUGCUUGAGAGGUUAAGCAAAGAUUAUUAAACUGCUAAAACAUUGAUAAAAGUGCACCUAGAUCUAAUCACAUAUCAAGCCACAGAAAAUCAUCAAAUAAAUCAGACAUAAUAAUUACUUCUCUAAACCACUAAAAGAUGACUGUGUUUGGGUGUCCAAAGCAAUGCUCAGUCUUCAUUUCUUCCCUUCACUCAAUCCAUGCGAGAACCACUAUCUCCAAGCCCCAUCUCACUGUCAACCAUCUCCUCUUUUGGCUGCGUGGUAGGCUGCCUCAAAUAAGCAGAGUAAGUGAUUGUCUCCAGAACAGUGAGCUUUCCCAGCAAAACAUGCUCUUGAUUUACAUAAGCAUCUGAUAGAAAGCUUCAGAAUCACUAAAUCAAAUGUUUAUACACACAGCAGUCCCAUGCCUCAUGUUUGUCUGGAAAUUCCCAUUGGAUCCUUCUCGCCCCACAAUCUACCUGUGAUGAACGACAAUGCAAGAAUCUUAGUCUCAAACACGUGCUCAAUCUUUAGAGAGUCUUGCGAAGUCACUGAAAGACUCGUUGACUUUGGAGAUGGGUUGCGUAAAGUAUAUAUAUCCCAACACAAACUUUUGUUUGAAUUGAUGCGAAACGAAUGUACUAGUACAUAGCGCUCAAGAACCCUAGAAUCGGAAGGUAACGAGCUCGGGAUCAAUGCCGGCGGGCGCCGUGCUGCUCUGUCCUGGAUCGUGAGCCAGUUGCUUGGCAAUCGCCAUAGCGGUACCCAGGUAAUCUUUAUGCUGCUGGAGCAGUGGGAGUUUGGUCCAUUCCUUGUGUAAUGUGGCCUUGGCGGUGGUGUUGAUGCUGUUCUUCUCCUCGUAUUUCCAGUUCCCAGUCUGCCACUCGAACUCGUAGAGGGGGAGAAAGCGCUGGCCAUAGUCCGCCACGAACUCUAUGGCGCACAGCAAGAAAUGGAACUCUUCCUUGGAGAGGAAGUAUGCGAAGUUCAAGCGCGUCCAUCCAGGUUUGACACCGCUAUAUCCCUGUGAGAAAAAAAAAAAGUUCUUUCCUCGUUAGCAAAAGCUCCUUGGCGAAACCUUCUAUUGUUUUGCUUCUCAACCUCUUGAAUUGCUGCUCGAAAUUUCAGGGAGAGCUCAUCACUGACUUUGAGAAGCGAGUGGCCGUAAGGACCGGCACACGAGCACCCUCCUCUCGACUGGAUCCCAAACAAAUCGUUGAGGAGCUUGGCUACAAACCGGCCUUGCAGCACGGUUUGCUGGAUUCCACCGUUGGAAUCAGUGGUCCGGACGACGAACGAGACGAUCGCUGCUCGUUUCACUUGCUUGUUCCCGAGCACCACUAUCUUUCGGUUCUUGGACAACCUUUUCAACGCGGUGGUGAUGAAGAUGUGCUCUCUCGACUCGAUGAGACGGUAUCCCAUUUCUUCUUGGACAGUGAAGACAAUCCCGGCUUUUAUCCGCUGGAGUAUGGAAGGUGUUCCAGCGUCUUCUCGGCUUUCAAUGUCCUCCAGGUAGAGUGUGUCCUGGUAUGAGUUUGUUUAGUGUUGGUUUUCUUUUUUCUUUCGCUGGAAAGGGAACUGACCUCUUUGUUGUAGUUGACGAAGUCUACCACUCCUCCGCCUGUUGUCGACGGUGCGUGAUCCUUGAGCUUGUAGAGCUUUUUGUUCAUGCAAAGCAGGCCCGGCGUUCCUGGCCCUCCGACAUACUUGUGUGGACUCAGCAUCACAGCAUCGUAUCCAUCAGCUUUUCGCGAUCGCAUGUUGAUCUUCACAUAUGGACCACUGUUGAUCAGAUUCGGCAAGUAAGCUUCGUUUCGUCCUUGGUAAAAGAUCUCGUCUUACCAGCUGGCGAAAUCAAAACAUGCUAAUGCUCCAUGUUUGUGUAGAAGGCGAGCGAUGGCUCUAGUGUCCGCUAAAACUCCCGUGACAUUACUGCAAGCGGAGAAGGAGCCAAGCAUUGGACGAUCUGCGUGCUUGGGAUUUUGCAGCUCCUCUUCGAGGUACUUCAUGUCAAUCAAUCCAUCCUCGGUCAUUGGAACUUGAAUAACCUGUGGUUUAAACAGUUGACAGAUUGAAAGAAACGAAAAAGCCCAACCUCGGCAAGACUUUGCCUCCAGGGAAGAAGGUUGGAAUGAUGCUCGUAUGGGCCUAUGAACACCAGCCAUCUCUUCCAGUCAUCGAUCGCUGCCACGGCUGACUCUCUCAUCUGGGGCGGUACAGACAAGCCCAAAAGCUCGUGGAGCUUUUUCACAGCUGCAGUGGUUCCAGAGGCGCAGAAGAAGAGAGCAUCAUCCUCGGUUCCUCCCAGGGACUCCUUGACAUAACUCGUGGCCAGUUUCACCAUCCGGGUGGUCUUCUCUCCGACGUAGCUGUCCUCGGCAUGCGUGUUCCCUGAAACAGAAUGCAGCGGGUCCAGAUAUGCAGAAGAGGAUUCACGGCUUUACUCACCGUAGGACGGCAUGACGUGCUUGAUGAGGAAGUUUUCUAUAUAGAACAAGCAGCGGCCAGAGGCAGUGUAAUCGGCAUAAGUGAGAGGCCUGCUGCCGAAUGGUGUGGAGAUUUGGAGCUGGGAGCCGAUGAUCUGGGAUCUGAGCCAGACACACUUUUGCUCAUCGUCAAAGGGCCUGAAGAACUUGAAAGGAUUGGGCUUGAAGUCUGGCUGCCAAUCCUCCUCGAUGCUGGGAGUUACCUCGCCGACCUUGGAAGCCGACUUUGGAGCAAAGCACCUCAUCGUCUUGCUGGUGAGCCUCUCUUACUUUGCUUGUAAUACGUUCGCUACUGUAAGACAUCGUUUGCAAACUUACCUUGUUCUUAACACUCCAGCUCCUCUUCAGCCAUCACAAAUAUCCUGUUUUAGUGCACCGCGUGAGGAAAAUGUCUUCACAGAUGCCCAAUGGAUUUCUGUCCUAUUUUUCCAGAUCACUUUAGGAGAAACAUGGUCAAGGAAACGACAUGUUUUGUCAACCUUGGCAAAUUCUAAGCACCCGUCGCCUUAGUGGAGAGGUACGUCGGCGUGAUUAUGAAGUCCUAGUCUUUUGUUGACAAGCUUCUUCCUUGCAGAGCAUUGAGGCGUGACAUGGAAGAAUUUAAUUACCUUUCGAAAAGACAAGAUAUGUCCAGAGAGCGGUCCUUGGAAUGCCAAAGUUCCUGAGAAGAAGACACUCGAGAGUUUGGAGAAUUUCGAGAGUUUGGAUAGACUUUGAAUGGGAAAGUCAAGUCAACACAAGAAAGAAAGUAAACAAUAUUUUACACUAUUAAUCUCCUACGAAUCGAAGAUCUUACCGUGUUACAAUAGCUGAAAGUCCAAGUCUAACUUGGAGAGCUAUAAAUCUUACCCAAGUGUUCAUGAGAAAGAAGAAUUGAUAUAUUAUUAUGGAUGUGGCAUGGAAGGAUUUGAGUGUGAGCGCGAGCAAUGGACGAGUGUUGCUGGAGAGUAUGUCCGGCUAUGCCCAGAGCGGCCAAAUCACCGCGAUCAUGGGUCCUUCGGGAUCCGGAAAGUCCACCUUGCUCGAUGCGCUUGCUGGUAUAGUUUUCCAAGAUUGAUUUGGGUGCAAUAGAUUAAAGCUCGAGAUUCUUGCAUUGUCGUUCAUCACAGGUAGAUUGGCCAAGAAUGCGAGGCGAGAAGGAUCCAUUUUUGUGUGACCAAAGGAUCAUCCAUUGCGGCAACGUGAUUGCUCAGCUACACGAAAGUAAUAACACCGUCAGAACAUCAUACCAGAAUGGGAAUCUCCAGACGAACAUGAGGCAUGGGUCUGUGGUGUGUAUAUAAACAUUUGAUUCUGUGAUUCUCAAACUUUCUGUCAUAGGCCUAUGUGAAACAAGAGGAUGUUUUGCUGGGAACACUCACUGUUUUGGAAACAAUCACUUACUCUGCUAACUUACUCGCUGCCGCGAAGCCAAAAGAUGGAGAUAGUUGAGAGUGUGAUCACUGAGAUGGGGCUUGGAGAUUGCAAGCAUACAGUGGUGGGAGGUUGGUUCUCGUGUGGAUUGAGCGGAGGGGAGAAACGAAGAGUGAGCAUUGCUUUGGAGAUUCUAACACAGCCAUCUCUUUUAUUCAUGGACGAACCAACCAGUGGUUUAGACAGGUGAUAUUUAUAUGAUUUUUAAGUCCGGCUUAUCGUAAUUUUUAUUUGAUGUUCUUCUUUGCAGUGCAUCCGUUAUUAUGUCAAUUCACCAGCCAAGUAGCGAAGUGUUUGAGCAGUUUGAUAAUCUUUGCCUACUAUCUCAGGGUGCACUGGUAUAUUUUGGAGUUGCCAUGGAAGCUAGCAUGGUACUUUUCUCAAAUUUAAUAUUCUUUAUGGUUUAUAUUUUAUUUUAGUUUUUCGACAGUGCUGGAUUUCCUUGUCCUCUCCGAAGAAAUCCAUCAGACCACUAUCUUAGAGUUAUUAAUUCCGAUUUUGACAAUGUUCAAAACAAGUUUAAGGUAUUCAUUUGUACUUUUUCUUAGAGUGUUUUUCUUAAUAUUCAUCUCAAUUUGAACAGGAAGAUAUUGAAACUCAAGAAAUAGUUCCAGCUUCUGAAGCAAUCAAAGUGCUUACAAAUGCAUUUCAAAAUUUGCAUUUGAGAUCCCUCCACACAAAAGUUGACAUUCUUUGUGUGACUAAGGUGAACCUUCUAAACAGUUUGUGAGACACACCUAAAUGACUUGAUUUUUUAGAAUAUUAUGAUUAUUAAUGGAUUACUAUUUAUAGAAUGAAUGAUCCAGAUGCAGGAGUUCUCCAUCAGCUUUCCACGUUAACUAGAAGAUCAUUUAUAAUUAUGACAAGAGAUAUUGGAUACUAUCGGCUGAGAAUCUUUGUAUACUUUAUGCUUAGCAUCGUUAUUGGCAGUAUAUAUUUUAAUGUUGGCACUAAAUACAACUCCAUUGCAGUAAGAGAAUACCAAAAAAUAUUCCUAACCAUGGUUAAGCUCGUUUGUUUUUUUUUUAAGGCAAGGAUUGGCUGUAUGGCUUUUAUUGGUAAAUUUCUUACAUUUAUGUCAAUUGGAGGUUUUCCAUCUUUCAUUGAAGAGAUUAAGGUAUAGGAUAGUUCUCAAUUGUCUUGCUUUCAUAUCCAGUGAUAUUUUCUUCAGGUUUUUAAUCAUGAGAAACAAAAUGGUUACUAUGGUCUCAUUGUGUUUACUCUCUCAAACACACUUUCUUCCAUUCCUUAUAUCCUUCAUAUUUCAUUGAUAUAAACAAGUGUAUUUUAUAAUAUGGUUAAACUCCACCCAGGCUUUGAUCACUUCAUUUUUUUUUGUGUUGAAAUUAUUUGCAACUGUGACUGUGGUGGAGAGCUUGAUGAUGUGUGUAGGAUCAAUUGUUCCCAAUUUUCUCAUGGGAAUAAUUACAGGAUCUGGAAUCUUGGUAAAAUCUCUUUAUAUUUCUUAAACUGUUUCUAAUGCGAUUUUUCAGGGGUUAUUCAUGCUUGUUGACGGAUUUUUUAAACUUGCUAAUGAACUGCCAAAAGGCUUUUGGAAAUAUCCAAUGCAUUAUAUAGCAUUUCAAACAUAUUUAUUUCAGGUUAAACAAAUAUUAUUUAUUUUCCAAAAAAUUAUAACAGGGUCUUUAUGAAAAUGAUUUUCAAGGGCUUGAGUUUCUAUCUGGAACAACAAUUCUUAAACAAUAUCAAAUAGAUCUCUCAAGAUCUAAAUGGUUGAACUUUAUAAUCCUGUUAAGCAUGAUUUUGGUUUAUCGAGGAAUUUUUAUUACUAUCAUCAAACUCACUCAGCUCAUAGAUGGGAAAAUUCUGAUGUUUAAAAUUAAUAGUAGGACCUCUAAGAAAAUAAAUGCUUAAAAUUAAAAGUAUGGCUUCGUGAGCUUGUCAUUCACGUUUCACUUGUCAUAUUUAUAAAUGAUCUUCUGGCAUCUAGUAAGUGUCACCCAAAUUGUCUUCAACCUUCACCUAACUUUUGUGUGGGGUGGAGUUCAAAUGCAAACUGAGAACUAGAACAUAAUAUGCUUUUGUAAGAAAUGCAUUUGUAAGCACUUUGAUUGCUUCGUAAUUAUCUUUUGAGUUAGCCAAAUGCCUUAGUCUAAUAUCUUCCUGUUCAGAUCAUUAAGAAAAAUUUCCUAAAAAGCUAUACAGAUGAAAAUACCUUAAACACUGUCAAAGUCCAAGUCGAUAAUUCUAAGAAGAAUACCAUGCUAUCUUCCAUGGUAUUUCCAAAAUAUACACUUGAGAGAUUAAGAAAAGAUUAUUAAACUGCUAAAACACUUUGCUACUUGUCUGAUGAAUUUGACAUGAUAAAAGUGCGCCUACAUUUGCACAGAAAAUCAUCAAAUAAAUCAGACAUAAUAAUUACUUCUCUAAACCACUAAGACAUGACUGCGUUUGAGUGUCCAAAGCAAUGCUCACUCUUCAUUUCUUCCCUCCACUCAAUCCAUGCGAGAACCACUGUCUCCAAGCCCCAUCUCACUGUCAACCAUCUCCUCUUUUGGCUGCGUGGUAGGCUGCCUCAAAUAAGCAGAGUAAGUGAUUGUCUCCAGAACAGUGAGCUUUCCCAGCAAAGCAUGCUCUUGAUUUACAUAAGCAUCUGAUAGAAAGCUUGAGAAUCACUAAAUCAAAUGUUUAUACACACCGCAGUUCCAUGCCUCAUGUUUGUCUGGAAAUUCCCAUUGGAUCCUUCUCGCGUACCUGUGAUGAACGACAAUGCAAGAAUCUUAGUCUCAAACACAUGAUCAAUCUUUAGAAAACUCUCAGAAUGUACGUCGAGCAAGGUUUGACUUUCCUGAUCUCAAGAUUUAAAAGUCGACAAACAAAACUAGCAAGAGGCCAAUUCUUUUCAAACUUUCUAAAGGUUUGUCCCAUCCAGUCUUGCCGUGGCUAUGGCUUCUCAAGGUACGUCGUCUCCAAAUAUUCAUGUCCUCGCAUUUCCCGUCCCAGGCCAGGGACACAUCACUCCGAUGAUGCAUCUCUGUAAAAAGAUCGCCGCUCGAGAUGGAUUCACCGUCUCGUUCGUCAAUGUCGACAGCCUCCACGACGAGAUGAUCAAGCACUGGAGAGCUCCACCCAAUACGGACCUCCGCCUCGUCUCAAUCCCACUCUCCUGGAAGAUCCCACACGGCCUGGAUGCUUACACUCUCACUCACUUGGGUGAGUUCUUCAAGACCACCACCGAGAUGAUCCCAGCUCUCGAGCAUCUCGUCUCCAAACUCUCUCUCGAGAUCUCGCCGGUCCGCUGCAUAAUCUCGGACUACUUCUUCUUCUGGACCCAGGACGUUGCUGAUAAGUUCGGGAUUCCAAGGAUUGUUCUGUGGCCUGGAUCCGCUGCCUGGACCACGAUUGAGUAUCACAUACCCGAGCUCAUCGCCGGAGGCCAUGUCUUUCCCAGCUUGACCGAAGGUAACUCCACUUUCAAUGGCAUUCACAUACGCCUCAAAAUUUUGCAGCGAAGAAGCUUGUCGCGGAUGAAUCUGUAGUGGGGAUUAUCAAGGGACUGGGACCUCUUCAUCAAGCCGACAUACCUCUCUACUUGCAAGCUGACGAUCAUCUCUGGGCGGAGUACUCCGUGCAGCGAGUCCCCUACAUCCGCAAGGCCUCCUGCGUGCUCGUCAACUCCUUUUACGAUCUGGAGCCGGAAGCUUCCGACUUCAUGGCGGCCGAGCUCCGCAAAGGUGGCACGGAGUUUCUCUCCGUCGGUCCGAUGUUUCUCCUGGACGAGCAGACCUCCGAGAUCGGACCAACCAACGUGGUGCUCAGGAACGAGGACGACGAGUGCCUGCGGUGGCUCGACAAGCAGGAAAAGGCUUCCGUUCUCUACAUAUCUUUUGGCAGCAUUGCGGUCGUGACUGUCGAACAGUUUGAGGAGAUUGCGGUGGGACUGGAAGCAAUCGGAAAGCCUUUCCUGUGGGUUUUACGGCCAGAACUUCUCAUUGGCAAUCCGGUAGAGAAGUAUAAGGAAUUCUGCGAACGUACCUCCAAGCAGGGAUUUACUGUGUCCUGGGCACCGCAGCUACGAGUUCUGAAACACCCCUCCAUCGCUGCGCACCUCAGUCACUGCGGCUGGAACUCGG